AGAUUGAACGCUGGCGGCAUGCCUUACACAUGCAAGUCGAACGGCAGCACGGGGGCAACCCUGGUGGCGAGUGGCGAACGGGUGAGUAAUACAUCGGAACGUAUCCUAUAGCGGGGGAUAACCUCUCGAAAGAGAGGCUAAUACCGCAUACGACCCACGGGUGAAAGAGGGGGAUCGCAAGACCUCUCACUAUUGGAGCGGCCGAUGUCGGAUUAGCUAGUUGGUGGGGUAAAAGCCUACCAAGGCUACGAUCCGUAGCUGGUCUGAGAGGACGUCCAGCCACACUGGAACUGAGACACGGUCCAGACUCCGUACGGGAGGCAGCAGGUGGGGAAUUUGGACAGUGGGACGAAAGCCUGAUCCAGCCAUGCCGCGUGAGUAGAAGAGGUCCGUUGGGUGUAAGCGUUCGUUCGGACCGGACGUAAAGGUCGACUAA
rnacentral:rRNA from 1 species